rnacentral:lncRNA from 1 species
GUUUCUAUAAUAAAAUCAUGUUGGCUUUUAUUAUAGGAUUACUAUUAUUUGUUAUAGAACUAUUAUUUAUUUUAAAAGCAUUGUUUUUUCUUUUAGACUGUGCCAUCAUGAAUUUGGCCAAAUCUGCCAAUCCUGGCAUGAUGGUCCUCCGUACAGAAUGUAUGCCACAUUUCUCCUCCUCUUCAUUGUCAUCACCUCGCGAAAAUAUCUUUCUUAAGGUGUAGGUCAGAUGUCUGUGUUAGUAACACAUGAGAGUACCUGAGGAACAGGUGUGUCAGUAACCUGAUGCCGUGUGAAACUGCGGUGCUUAAAGCCCUCUGGAAACUGCCCUCUCAUUUCGUCAUCAGAGAGCUAGAAGAUUCUAUCAAUGAUGCGGAAAGGAGUCCUUUCCUGGCUUUUCAGUUUCAAUACCCUAGCCCUCAGGGGGAGAUGGAAAUGACCCUAGGGCUUCUAACAGCGGACUUGGGGGACUAUGUGACCUCUCAAACAAGCCUUCACACACUUGUGCGCCCACGACCACCACCACUGGAAAGUUCCUCAGCAGGAGGAAGAGAGUACAGGAGUACAUGAGUGGGUUUCUGGGGAAGGGCUGGCCCUAUACCCUGCCCUAUGCGCCCAGCCCAAGUGGGAAAAUGAGUAACUAACUUGACAGCCUUCAGGAUUCAAAAUAAAGAGGGAAAUUAUGUUUCUUCCCCUGUGAGA